UACUGAAAGUUGACAUUUUGUUUUUUUGUGUGGAGCAGGUAGCUCGUUUAUUAUUUUGUUAUUACUCCGGAAUUCAAGAAUAAAAUUUCUAAAAAGUGUUUGUUCUAACAGCCUAACGAAAAUCAUGGCCAAUCACGCGAAGAACACGGAAAGUAGCUCGGAGUUAAUCAAUCAUCCGGUGAAACCACCCAGCCAGCAACAGAUAUUUGACGACCCGGGAAAUCAACCUUUAUGGAACUGCACCCGAGUGGAUCCCAGUGGACAAGAUUAGAGCCGAGCGGCAUUUUCCAGAUCUGGAGAUAUUUACACAAUCUACCACUCCACUGAUUGGGCGGAUCCAAAACUUCGUUCAGUUUCACCUCAAAGGCUUUUCCUGCAAUCAAUGAAUGCAUCGUCUGGUAAUCUCCGGCGGAAGAUCUGAUGCUGAAUCAAAAUUGACUUGAAGCAUCAAUUAUUACAAUAAUUGUAAUAAUCAUAAUUAUAAUAUCAUGUUCACAGCAAGAAAAAAUAGUUUAGCGAACAGAUAUUGAAAACCUAAUAAAAAUUAUAUUGUCAUGUUCUCCGAAUAUGUAUCGGAUAAAUUGUGCACCACAAAAUAGAAAAUAAACUAUUGAUACUCAUAAA